UACGGAGGGUGCAAGCGUUAUCCGGAUUCACUGGGUUUAAAGGGUGCGUAGGUGGGCAGGUAAGUCAGUGGUGAAAUCUCCGGGCUUAACCCGGAACUGCCGUUGAUACUAUCUGUCUUGAAUAUAGUGGAGGUGAGCGGAAUAUGUCAUGUAGCGGUGAAAUGCUUAGAUAUGACAUAGACACCAAUUGCGAAGGCAGCUCACUACACAAUCAUUGACGCUGAGGCACGAAAGCGUGGGGAUCAAACAGG
rnacentral:rRNA from 1 species